rnacentral:misc_RNA from 1 species
AACCGCUGCGUUUACGCCUUCCUUAACGGACCAUGGCCCCCGGAAUAUUGGGAGUACCCCUGGCAUCCGACAAUAAAAAGUGUCAGCAACAUAACGGAAGUCAGAAUGAUGAUCAAACCUACAUAAAUGAAUGCUGAAAUGGAAUACUGUAAACUGACGUUUAUUUAUUUCCGAGUAAUUUUCGCAAGGUUCCUGAGAGUCCCGUCUGCGCAAAUAUUUUUUUCAUCUCUAACUAGACCUCAAAUGUUUUCCAUAUACUAGUAAUUUACAUUUUGAUCACAAAAAAUAGUCCCCAUGAGAUAAGAUAUAAAAAAAGAUCUGGUUUUUUUAAUCUGUAUUUUGCGAAGAAAGUCGUUGGUUGGCAGAACAUCAGAUAAAAACUCUACUUGAUUACAGUUUUAGUCAUAAUCUAAAGAUUCAUAUGAAAUGGAAUUCAUAAAUGUGCAGUAUUGAGUGUUUUUUCUUUUUAAUCCUUUUUAUUAGGCAUUUUCUAUUUGCAUAUUAUUCUUUUAAAAAGAAAACAAUGUUGUUCACAUUACUAAAUUGUUGUGUAAUAAUGUCUCAUAUAUCUCUUUUGAUUUUCUCUAAAUUGUAAAAAAAAAAUAAAAAAUAAAAAAUAAUAAAAAUAUUGCACUUUCAGAUAACUCCAUGCAUGGUCGUUCAAUAAACGUCUAAAACAGAU